GUUUCUAUUGGGAUGAGACCAGUUAAUGAGGAUAAUAUCACAUUAGUGGUUUCAGCCUGACAUAAACUGAGCCGCCAGCUCAUCUGAUCUGACCCCUUUCCUGGAUGGAGGUUGUGGAUAAUCUAUAUUGGAGUGUAUAUUUAAUAACUGAAAUAUCAUUGAGGAAAAGGAAUUUGAAUCUUUUAGAUUAAAAUAUUAGCAGUUUGAUAUCAGACUGUCUGCUACUGAGUCCUGGGGUAGAAGUCAAACGUCUAGAAUGAAGAAGAAGAAGUAGAUGUUAGCAAAAUAUAUCACAAAUUAUAUAGGAGUUAAGUAAACAUCAGGAUUCUUGAUAAAUAUUUUUCAUUAUUGGUUAGCUGUUUGCUAAUAAUGAGUUAAAAGUAGCUAAAUGAUAGCCAAAAGUGACAUGUUUAAAAUGCUAAAAUAUGAACACAACGUCAACAAGAAAAUAUGUAUGAUAUAAAUAUGUUUGGUAGAAGAAUAAAAGCCACACCUAAAAAUAAAAAUUACACAAAAUGUUUUUUUUUUUUAAAGUAAGUUGGUAAAUGACAGAAUGCUAGUCUACAAAUAGAGUGCUGGCUAACAUUAGCUUAUAAAAUAUGCAUUAUAUGAUUUAAAAACUAGACCAGAGAUAUUAUUUCAAAGGUCCACAAAGUAGUAGAGAUGGUCUCUCUUGUAUGUUAUUUCUAUCCAAAAUAUUUUUUGUGGGUCAGAAUUCAACAUUUAAAAUUCCCCAAAGUGACUAUGUAGUUAGAGAUUAUCAUUUGUGUUAAAUUUAAAAGUGUAAUCUGUUAUAGAAAAACAAAACAAAAAAUGUUUGAAUUACGUUAAACAACAAAGUAGAUUGCUGGUAACAAGGAGUUCAAACUGUGUUCACAGCACACCCUGGAGGGAACAGAGAAGAAGCGGCACACACACGUGUGUUUUACCACAACUUCUCAUUGGACUGACCUUCCAUCGUCUGUAGCUCGUCAUCCUCUCACUAUCGCCUGCUUUUCGCUGAACAGAUUCCAAGUUUACAUCAAGACCUGAAAAACAAAACACAGCCUGCCGUGGAUGUGGGCUGAAGAUGAGAUGUUAAAAUCCUUCAAAACUGAUUCCAAUCUGAACUCAUCAACUGGAUGCCGACACAGCAGCCUUUAUUGUGCAUCCUCUGGGCCCACAGGUAAUAAAGAGGUGAGCUCCUUCAUUAUUACCACCACACAGUGUCCCUUGACGGUGCGAGUGGCUGUCACAUUUAUCAACACCUGACACAAAACCCAGCGCUGCUGUGAUGUCUCCUGGGAGUAACUGACACAAUGACAAACAACGAAGGCCUCAGAAAACAUCGUGAUGGUCACCGCGGCUGGAAAACAACAUUUCUGGGACUUUGCUGGAAGUGACGUGUUCAUGAUUACAUGCAUUAUUGAAAUUAGUUUAACACCGAAAUUAGCAGCCAUGCUAGGCACUCCAUACUGACCUCUGUAUGAGUGUGAAUGGUUGUUCUGAUGUGGCUGGCGACCUCUGCAGGGUGUUCUCUGUUUCUGCUCCACGGUGGCUGCAGGGUUUCACUCCAGCGUCUCCUGCUACACUGAAAGCGUUGAAGUGGAAGAAAAUGAAGAUAAAGUCAUUGACAGCAGGCGGUUUGAAAUCACAAUGGUUGGUGGCUGUUUCCCAUUUGUUCCCAAAAAACACAUUUUAAAGGUAAUCAGACCCUGACAGUGUUUCAUGUUUACUAAUGAUGAGGAAAAAAAGGAAACAACCCAGACAUCGAUGUCUUUGCAGGGAGAAUCUAAGGAACGUACAUUCAACGUCCGGUUCACGGUGAAUGGCUUUGACCCCCCUCUGUGAACUGUUAUGACUCGGGUCAGUGCUUUAAGAUUAGUUUAGCCUUAGCCUCCGUCAGCCAACAGCUGUAAACACAGUGAAUGUGGUCGUCGCUGACUUUGAACCAGGGAAACCACAAAAUACCACAGAUACUCAGUACUGUCUCAAGCACGUACUGUGUGUAUGCAGUGAUCGUUUUCUUCUGCUGUGACAAAGUUAAUGAUGGUUAGACCUAGUAGCAUAGGUGUGAAGAGGAUGCUGUGAGGCUGAAGACAACCUGGUAACAACUUUAAUUACUGUCAGAAACACGUGCAUUUAACCCACUGAGCCACCGGGGCCUACAAAUACGCAAUUAGCAACAGUGUAUUUACUCCUAGACAAACAGUAGGGGGUCCUCUCCGUGGGAGGGAACGAAUCCACAGGUGUCUCCGGUCGUCCUCUGCCGGGGAGACGCUUCCUUUAACCCUCAUUAAAACCCUGUGAGCUGCCAUUACUGUCCUUUCAAAGAGCCUGGGAGGAUUUAUAUUGUCUUUUAAAAUGUGAUGAAUAAUUAAGAGUGGACUCGCUGACUCUGUCUGCCUCUGGAUCAAACACACAACCAGUGAAAGUGCAUGGUUAGUGCAUGGUGCUGGAGUGUGCACUACUUCAAAAGAUCCUUUUCAAAGACACAUGUCAUCUUUUCAUUGUGGAAAAACGUCUUUUUUAUGUCUGCAUAUCUGUGAUUAAAGACAUCGCAGGCUUGUCCCUGGAUAA